UUCCAGAUCGUGAGUGAGGGUAUGUGUUGUGUGUUUGUGUCAGUGAAUGGGGGGGUAUGUGAUAUAGUGGGGUAUGUCCUGUAUGUAAUAUAUGUAUGUAUACUGCCAGUUAGUGGGAUGCCAGUGCGGGGCAGGGCAGUGGACAGACUCAGAUCAUUCCUGUGAUUUAACAUGACACCACUUGCACUAAGACUGCGACAGCUGCGUAUGCACAUGCCGCCAAUUCUGUUUGUUGUAGGGGCUUACGCUGCGAUAAAAGGCCAAGUGCAGAGUAGUGUGGCUGGGCCCAGAGCAUUACUCUUUCCCCCCAAUUUAGAAGGCUUUCCCCCGGCCUCCAGGGCUCUGGAAAAACACAGGUGGAAAAAGGAUGAAUGGGAGUAUUCAAAUGAUGAUUGGUGUCACAUAACCUUUAGAAAUCACUCAAAUUACAUGAUGUAAGUUGUUCAUUACUUAACAGCAGACACAGGGGACACUGGUUGGCUACAUACAGUAGUUAUGAUGGUGGAGCAGACCUUAGUGUUUUGGUUGGUUACAUACAGUAGUUAUGAUGGUGGAGCAGACAACAGUGUUCUGGUUGGUUACAUACAGUAGUUAUGAUGGUGGAGCAGACCUUAGUGUUCUGGUUGGCUACAUACAGUAAGUUAUGGUGGAACAGAGUAAUGUAUUACCUCAUGCUAUGUUGGGUCAUGAGAAAAUGAUCCAAAGAAGGUUCUUACUGUAUGCACCAUGCAUGUGUUAUUACAUGUUCCAAUGCAAA
rnacentral:lncRNA from 1 species